CGUGCAGGCGGUCAAGUAAGUGGGAUGUGAAAUCCCUCGGCUCACCCGAGGACCUGCAUCCCAAACUGCUUGGCUUGAGUAUGGGAGAGGAUGAGGGAAUUCCUGGUGUAGCGGUGAAAUGCGUAGAUAUCAGGAGGAACACCGGUGGCGAAAGCGCUCAUCUGGCCCAAUACUGACGCUGAGACACGAAAGCGUGGGUAGCAAACA
rnacentral:rRNA from 1 species